CGAAAUUUGGAAAUUGUUCCUUUUGAUCCAGAAAUCGAAAAGACUUUUUGAAGACUUCGGAGGUAAAAUAAAAAAGUUUUUGCUCCAAGUAAAAUAAUGGUUGAUCAACAAAAGGAAGAGACCAAGCCUUUGAGGGAUAAUGUUAUCCCAUGAGUACAAAAUCUCCACUCUAGUAUCCGAAGACCUCCUAUUCAAGCCAACAACUUUGAAAUUAAG
rnacentral:lncRNA from 1 species